rnacentral:rRNA from 1 species
GGGUUGUGAGGUUAAGCGACUAAGCGUACACGGUGGAUGCCCUGGCAGUCAGAGGCGAUGAAGGGCGUGCUAAUCUGCGAUAAGCGCCGGUAAGGUGAUAUGAACCGUUAUAACCGGCGAUACCCGAAUGGGGAAACCCAGUGUGACUCGUCACACUAUCAUUAACUGAAUCCAUAGGUUAAUGAGGCGAACCGGGGGAACUGAAACAUCUAAGUACCCCGAGGAAAAGAAAUCAACCGAGAUUCCCCCAGUAGCGGCGAGCGAACGGGGAGGAGCCCAGAGCCUGAAUCAGCAUGUGUGUUAGUGGAAGCGUCUGGAAAGGCGCGCGAUACAGGGUGACAGCCCCGUACACAAAAGCGCAUGUGCUGUGAGCUCGAUGAGUAGGGCGGGACACGUGGUAUCCUGUCUGAAUAUGGGGGGACCAUCCUCCAAGGCUAAAUACUCCUGACUGACCGAUAGUGAACCAGUACCGUGAGGGAAAGGCGAAAAGAACCCCGGCGAGGGGAGUGAAAAAGAACCUGAAACCGUGUACGUACAAGCAGUGGGAGCCCCACCACUAAGCCAGUGGUGAACUCCACAUACGCAUCCUUUGCUGAGGAUACGGUUAACGGAGCGAAAGCGACGUUCAACCGCAAAACAAGCAGAGGGGGCUUAGUGGUGGGGUGACUGCGUACCUUUUGUAUAAUGGGUCAGCGACUUAUAUUCUGUAGCAAGGUUAACCGUAUAGGGGAGCCGGAGGGAAACCGAGUCUUAACUGGGCGUUAAGUUGCAGGGUAUAGACCCGAAACCCGGUGAUCUAGCCAUGGGCAGGUUGAAGGUUGGGUAACACUAACUGGAGGACCGAACCGACUAAUGUUGAAAAAUUAGCGGAUGACCUGUGGCUGGGGGUGAAAGGCCAAUCAAACCGGGAGAUAGCUGGUUCUCCCCGAAAGCUAUUUAGGUAGCGCCUCGUGAAUUCAUCUCCGGGGGUAGAGCACUGUUUCGGCUAGGGGGCCAUCCCGGCUUACCAACCCGAUGCAAACUGCGAAUACCGGAGAAUGUUAUCACGGGAGACACACGGCGGGUGCUAACGUCCGUCGUGAAGAGGGAAACAACCCAGACCGCCAGCUAAGGUCCCAAAGUCAUGGUUAAGUGGGAAACGAUGUGGGAAGGCCCAGACAGCCAGGAUGUUGGCUUAGAAGCAGCCAUCAUUUAAAGAAAGCGUAAUAGCUCACUGGUCGAGUCGGCCUGCGCGGAAGAUGUAACGGGGCUAAACCAUGCACCGAAGCUGCGGCAGCGACACUGUGUGUUGUUGGGUAGGGGAGCGUUCUGUAAGCCUGCGAAGGUGGCCUGUGAGGGGUGCUGGAGGUAUCAGAAGUGCGAAUGCUGACAUAAGUAACGAUAAAGCGGGUGAAAAGCCCGCUCGCCGGAAGACCAAGGGUUCCUGUCCAACGUUAAUCGGGGCAGGGUGAGUCGACCCCUAAGGCGAGGCCGAAAGGCGUAGUCGAUGGGAAACGGGUUAAUAUUCCCGUACUCGGUGUUACUGCGAAGGGGGGACGGAGAAGGCUAUGUUGGCCGGGCGACGGUUGUCCCGGUUUAAGCGUGUAGGUGUGUGUUCCAGGUAAAUCCGGUUCACUUUAACACUGAGGCGUGACGACGAGGCACUACGGUGCUGAAGCAACAAAUGCCCUGCUUCCAGGAAAAGCCUCUAAGCAUCAGGUAACAUCAAAUCGUACCCCAAACCGACACAGGUGGUCAGGUAGAGAAUACCAAGGCGCUUGAGAGAACUCGGGUGAAGGAACUAGGCAAAAUGGUGCCGUAACUUCGGGAGAAGGCACGCUGACACGUAGGUGAAGUGAUUUACUCAUGGAGCUGAAGUCAGUCGAAGAUACCAGCUGGCUGCAACUGUUUAUUAAAAACACAGCACUGUGCAAACACGAAAGUGGACGUAUACGGUGUGACGCCUGCCCGGUGCCGGAAGGUUAAUUGAUGGGGUCAGCGCAAGCGAAGCUCCUGAUCGAAGCCCCGGUAAACGGCGGCCGUAACUAUAACGGUCCUAAGGUAGCGAAAUUCCUUGUCGGGUAAGUUCCGACCUGCACGAAUGGCGUAAUGAUGGCCAGGCUGUCUCCACCCGAGACUCAGUGAAAUUGAACUCGCUGUGAAGAUGCAGUGUACCCGCGGCAAGACGGAAAGACCCCGUGAACCUUUACUAUAGCUUGACACUGAACAUUGAGCCUUGAUGUGUAGGAUAGGUGGGAGGCUUUGAAGUGUGGACGCCAGUCUGCAUGGAGCCGACCUUGAAAUACCACCCUUUAAUGUUUGAUGUUCUAACGUGGACCCGUGAUCCGGGUUGCGGACAGUGUCUGGUGGGUAGUUUGACUGGGGCGGUCUCCUCCUAAAGAGUAACGGAGGAGCACGAAGGUUGGCUAAUCCUGGUCGGACAUCAGGAGGUUAGUGCAAUGGCAUAAGCCAGCUUGACUGCGAGCGUGACGGCGCGAGCAGGUGCGAAAGCAGGUCAUAGUGAUCCGGUGGUUCUGAAUGGAAGGGCCAUCGCUCAACGGAUAAAAGGUACUCCGGGGAUAACAGGCUGAUACCGCCCAAGAGUUCAUAUCGACGGCGGUGUUUGGCACCUCGAUGUCGGCUCAUCACAUCCUGGGGCUGAAGUAGGUCCCAAGGGUAUGGCUGUUCGCCAUUUAAAGUGGUACGCGAGCUGGGUUUAGAACGUCGUGAGACAGUUCGGUCCCUAUCUGCCGUGGGCGCUGGAGAACUGAGGGGGGCUGCUCCUAGUACGAGAGGACCGGAGUGGACGCAUCACUGGUGUUCGGGUUGUCAUGCCAAUGGCACUGCCCGGUAGCUAAAUGCGGAAGAGAUAAGUGCUGAAAGCAUCUAAGCACGAAACUUGCCCCGAGAUGAGUUCUCCCUGAGACUUUAGGUCUCCUGAAGGAACGUUGAAGACGACGACGUUGAUAGGCCGGGUGUGUAAGCGCAGCGAUGCGUUGAGCUAACCGGUACUAAUGAACCGUGAGGCUUAACCUUACAACGCCGAAG